AAGAUUCGCGCCUCUUCAGGUGCUUUGAUAUUUAUCUGAGUUAAACGGGAAGUUGGUGCAAAACCAACACUGCCCCCGCAACGGUAAGCGUUGAAAAGUGCAUCCAAUCAGCCACUGCGAAUUAAUCGUGGGAAGGCGGAUGCAUCGGCUUAGGCCACAACGUGAGUCCGGAUACCGGCCUGAAGUUCAUCACAGCC
rnacentral:ncRNA from 2 species